CUGUUGGCCUGGCAAUGGUGAGGGGAAAUCACUACAUUGAGACUUGUAAUUGUGUUAACUCAUUGAAGCUUAGCAAAGAUAAUGAGAAAUAAUUUCAAGUCAAUUAAUUAACCAUUUAGUGGUUCAAUGUUUAUCCUUCAGUUUUAUAUUUAUAAAUACUUAUGUUUUAACCAUCGGUGGAUUAAAAUAUAAGCAAAUAACGGUGUUAUAGACGAUAACAAUGGACGUUUGACCAUGAAAAAGGAAUAAGUGAAACAUGAAACAGUUAUGUUUACCAAGGAAUGAUGUGUAAUGGUUGUUACUUUGUUCCCCAUUGGCAGAAUCGAUUAUCAUUGAAGGACUCUCAAAGGACCAUUGGACAUACAAAAAGAGAAAGAACAAGAGCAAAAGAAAAGAAGAUAAUGUUGCUACUGCUGUUUCUGAUGAUGAUGAUGAUCCAGAAGAGUUACAUGGGUCCAUGACACCCUAAAAGAUGUCCUUAAUGAAUUUAUCUUCUUCAAUUUCACCAACAAUCUCAGUGUUUGAUAACAUAAAUAUAUAUAUAUAUAUUGGGUGAAAGAAGUUAUUCCGCCUUCUCUAUUCUUCUGGAUCAUCAUAAUACAAGAAUCGUCAAAAUGGACAUACACAAACACACCAAAUACGGAUGAAUCUCUUUUCAAGUAACAAUCCAUAUUGACAUAUACAUUUAUAUAUAUAAUAUACCUUUAUUCACCAUCUAUUUAGCAUAUUAUUUGUAUUAUUAUCAACCUCAAGUGUCAUCCAGUUUUGUCUCUUUGGCUUCUCAAUUGAAACAAGUUGUUAUCAACAGCAAAACCAAGCAUCUAAAGAGGAAAAAAAUGGAAACCAUUUCAUUCAUAGAAAACUGGAACUUUUAUUAUAUUAUCAUCGUUAUUAUUAGAAUUAUUUUUAAUACAAAACCAGCUCAUACCAAACAGUUAAAAUGGAAAGCUAGAAAAGCGAGGAAAAAAAAGUUAAAUGUUUUGUCAGACUUUUGUAUCAAAUAUUAUUACAUGAAUGAUUAUCAACAAUGAAAGUGUUUCCAGUGUAAAGUUAACACACAAAUUUUGGUUGUGUGAUAAAAAGGCUGUAAAUCCUUUUUCAAUUCACUUUUGAUGAACAAUUUACAACUCUCAAUUGUUUAAUUGGAUUAAAUAGCUUUGAAAAUUUUUAAUCCUUGA